rnacentral:lncRNA from 1 species
CGGGACUCGGCUCGGAAACCAGCCCCGCGCGGCGGCAAGAUCCUGGGAGCAGGAGGAGAAGGGAGUGCCCAGAGCUGUGACCUGGAGCCGAGGUCCCCCUGGGGAGUCCUAACAGAACAAAGGCCAUCGCGGGGACUGUGGCAGUGGUUACCAGAUGAAAUGAGUGACCCCUUUUAAAGCUACAGAGGCCGUAACAGUCCUUCGCCCUCUCUGGUCAUUCAAGAGCCUUCUGAAUAGGGCUCCAAAAAUCAACUUCAGCCUUGGACCAGAGAACAUGUGCCAGAACAAGCCUGUCUCCAGGGGACUGCUCCGUCACAGCUGUCAGACGAUUCCAGUGCAUUCAGUGUGAUAAAAUGGAAGGCUUACCCCCGCCCCCAAUUUUGUCCUUGGGUGGCUGUGUAAACGCGUUCCCUGUCCACAUUUCGCCAGGAGGGCUAUUUGCUGUAUUAAUAAUGGGG